rnacentral:rRNA from 1 species
AACCACGGGUUAUUGCUUAGUACGGCGAGUGAAGCGGCAAAAGCUCAAAUUUGAAAUCUGGCACCUUCGGUGUCCGAGUUGUAAUUUGAAGAAGGUAACUUUGGAGUUGGCUCUUGUCUAUGUUCCUUGGAACAGGACGUCACAGAGGGUGAGAAUCCCGUGCGAUGAGAUGCCCAAUUCUAUGUAAAGUGCUUUCGAAGAGUCGAGUUGUUUGGGAAUGCAGCUCUGAGUGGGUGGUAAAUUCCAUCUAAAGCUAAAUAUUGGCGAGAGACCGAUAGCGAACAAGUACAGUGAUGGAAAGAUGAAAAGAACUUUGAAAAGAGAGUGAAAAAGUACGUGAAAUUGUUGAAAGGGAAGGGCUUGAGAUCAGACUUGGUAUUUUGCGAUCCUUUCCUUCUUGGUUGGGUUCCUCGCAGCUUACUGGGCCAGCAUCGGGUUGGAUGGUAGGAUAAUGACUAAGGAAUGUGGCUCUACUUCGGUGGAGUGUUAUAGCCUUGGUUGAUACUGCCUGUCUAGACCGAGGACUGCGUCUUUUGACUAGGAUGUUGGCAUAAUGAUCUUAAGCCGCCCGUCUUGGAGCGUGGACCAAAGUAGAUGGCUGAGGCGUGCCUGCAUCAGCACGCACACCGACUUGGAGAAUGUUGCUGUCAACAUGUUUCGGUCUGCCGCGUCCUGCCAUGCGGGACGAGAGAGUCUCACGGAAGUAGCAGUUUGUGGGGGGAGCCAACCCUGUGUGCGCAAUGGAUGGCGUGGUGGGGGAUUCUUGCACCCGUGAUCGAACGAUUAGAUGACCGCGGUUUGUGUUUGUAGAGAUUUAGAAGGAGCAGAUAGAUGGUGAACUAUCCCUGAAUAGACUGUAUCUACAGGAACCCAGAAGGGCGGUUGCACCAACGGGACCCGGCUGAGCCAGCGUCAGUCCGGUUCUUAAGGGUCGAACUGGGUUCCACGAUCCGUUUCCCGGGAGGAGGGUCCGUUCCCCAGUUUAAGGUAGCUUUUACUGGGUCUAAAAUUGGCGCUUUCGGUUUUUGGGCCGGGACUGGGUUUCACUACCGGUAUUCCCCUUACCCGGUUCCACACCGGGGUGUUUGGGGAAUUGGUUUUCCGGGCACUUUUACUUAAGGUAGGGCCCGGGUGAGGGGCGUGGGCCCCCCUGUGGGGGGCGGGGAAAAAAAUGCCGAAUUCUCAAAUUGGGUGUUUAGCAUAUGUUUGUUAACUGGGAGCUAUAGGGAUGUUGUUUUUUAAUAGAUGUAUGUUAUAUUUGUUAGGAUGUAUUUGCGAUUGUUUUUUUCUUAAUUGAUUAUUUUUAUGGGGAUGCUUUGUUUUGGUCGUAUAAGUAGGAAGUUGAUGGGUGGUUAUGGCACUGCCCUCCGGGGGGGACGCGCA